rnacentral:tRNA from 1 species
GCCCGGGUGGCGGAACUGGCAGACGCGCAGGACUCAAAAUCCUGUUCCUUCACGGGAGUGUGGGUUCGACCCCCACCCCGGGCA